GGGUCAGUAGGUGGGUCGUGCCACCGUUACGUACUGGUCUCACUGAUUCCUCCUUCCUGAAGAACCGUAAUGCCAUUAAUUUGGUGUUGCGGGAAACAGGACUGUUACUUUGAAAAAAUUAGAGUGUUUAAAGCAAGCUAACGCUUGAAUACAUUAGCAUGGAAUAAUGAAAUAGGACGAUCGAUCCUAUUUUGUUGGUUUCUAUGAUUGACGUAAUGAUUAAUAGUGAUAGUUGUU
rnacentral:rRNA from 1 species